UCAUCUCCGUGCAUUUUGUUUUACUUACCCGUGUAUAUGGUGUACAUAAAGGACAAACGAGGCCUAAUUUACAACAUCUAGUCUUUCUAGAUGUUAAAGAGGUUGCCAAUGUAUGACAGAAGUAGAGUUAGUAAACUAACACAUUGUGUACACUUUCUUAAAAUUCAUAGAAAGGCUGUCUUCUGAAAAAGACUUUCGGAAGUGAAAUUACAUCAGCUUUAAGUGACACAUGUGCCUAUAUCCACCACGUUGGUGGUGGAGAGGAGCUGGAACUAAUGAACAGUUCUAGACCAGAAUGUUCUUAUUUAGAAGACACUUUACAGAUAUAACCAUUGCUACUUGUGUGCAGUUUAUUCAACACUACUGUAUAUAUAGUGGACAAACUUUAAGUCCUAAUUUGAAACAUCUAGUCUUUCUAGAUGUUUAGAAGUGCACAAAAAAUGUUAAAAGUAGAGGUAGUAAAUAACA